rnacentral:lncRNA from 1 species
ACUAAACGUAAAAGACACGUUCUUCUCCCACUAAUCGUCACUAACUGUUAGUUAUUACACGUGUCGCUCAUAGAUGUAUUCGUCUCUACGGGUGGUCCUCCACUCCUCCGGGUUCUGGCCGGGCGAGGUGGAUCGGGUUCAACAGAGACGCUUCCCUUGAUCCACCGAGUCCCCGUCUAAAUCGAUUUCCGCCUUAAGCACCUGCUCCGCCACAGCUUGAUCAAUUGGCACUGUUACAGAUGCCCCCGCGAUCGUCGUCCAGAUUUCUCUUCUGAAGAACUCAUUCGCCUCUCUAAGGUGACUCUCGUUUCUUAUUCUAUUUCAACUUUUGAGAGUUGUAGAAUCGAUGUAUUUACAGAUCACCAUGGCGGUGUAUGAGACGGCGAUCAUGAUCAAAAUUCCUGUCUGACCUUCAUCUAAAACUUUUUCGGCGCCAGCAAAAUCCUUUCGGAAUGAGUUCGCUUGAGCACCUUUCGAUUUGGUUAUGGUAGUUGACGUAGAGAGUGAAAAUAGAUAGAAUGAAAUUACGUAUGCUGAAACAGUGCAUAAUAAACAAGUGAUCGUUUCUCUUACAUCCUCGGAUUUCGGGGUACGAGGUUAAAAAAAUAUUAAAAAGAGACAGAAAUUAUUGUUCUAAUUCAGCCAAAAAUAUCUUCAACUGUAAAAAAUAACAUAAAUUGCACAUUGCAAUAAAUAAAAUGUGUUAAAUAAAAAAUGCGGACAUCAUUUAUGUGAGUAAAAUAAAUAAUCAAAAUUUUACUACAAAAAGAAAUAUUAAAUCUGACAAACUAAUUGUGUAUGUGUAACAUAGUCAGAUGCUACUUGCGUACUCCAGAGCUUUACUAGUAACGUAUUCAAUCUUUCCUUCAUCUCCAAGAGAUUUUUCGUAUUCAAGAUAUUUUUUCAGCAAGAACUACAUAUAAAUAACAACAAUUUUUUUGUAUAAAUGAUGUAACAUCCAUUCAUAAUUGUGUUAAGCUGUAGGAAAAAAAUCAAAAUAAAUUAUACCUUCAUUUUUUUUGGAGGAAGACUUAGGCAAGUUACCCUCUCAAAUAAUGCCCGUAUAACUUCUACAUCAGCAAGGCGGAUCUCCUGCAAAAUUAGACAUAGAAUCAUAAAAUACUGUAAUAUUUUUUGGCAAAUGAUGAAGUUUUUAUUUUUUAUAUUUGUGUAGCAAUAGUGUUCAAAAAUAAGAAUUACUUGAUCAAGAUACACACUCCAUAAGUCUGUCCUCUUAGGAUAUUCACGGAGCAUGCCUUCAAACAUAGACCUUCCCCUAUCAGGGGAUCCAAAUUUAAAUUCAAUGAUUGCAGCUUGUGAAAUGAACUUAAUGUGUUUGUGAUGGGAUAGACACAAGAGAGCUUUUUUAACAACACCCUGAACAUCCCUAUUCUGCUUGAGAUGGCUUUGCACAUAUUGUAACCAGACCUGAAACUUACCAUAUAAGUAUCCAUAUUUAAAAUCAGUCAAACAAAGCCAGUCAAGAAAUAUUACCUUGCAGGAAUUCUUGAACUUUUUUGUCAUCUUCUCUAGAAGUUCAUCUACUUGACUCUGUUUCUCACUCCUUUGAUAAAUCCCUAAUAGAGCAAAAUGCAAUUUCUUGGGUUCACAAUACUGCAAAGCCCUCGCAAAUAUUCUCCUCACGGCAUCCUGGGUAUAAAAAUAAAUGCAAUUUUAGCUACCAAUAUAUGAAGAACAAUAAAAAUAUUUUAAGAUAUCUUUCAAAAAAAAAUUCAAAUACAUACCUCUGAUGGAUUCCCAUAUUCAUUCUCCAAAUUAAAAUAAGCCACCCAAAUAUUCAUCUUCUCAUUUUCUUCUCUAAUAUUUAUUAUCCUCAAAGCCCUGUUGAAAUCAAAUAGGUUUGAUGAAAAAUAAUUCUAAAAAUAUAUAUUUAUGUAUCUAAAACAACAUUAAUACCUUUCGGCAACCGAACGUGCCUUUUCUACAUCAGCCAGUGAAAGAAGGAAGGCCAUAUAUUUUAUCCAGACAAAACUACUAUCCGGGGAGGUUCGAACCAAUUUCUCAAAUUCAUCAGAAGUCCGUGGAACAUCAUUCUCUAAAAGUCUUUCUUCAGAAGCGCUCACUUGAAGUUCUCUGUGUAACAAAAUAAGAUUCUCAGAUAAAAUACUCAGAUAAAAUACUAGGAGUAAAUGAUAAAAUACCUUUCUUCCUUUUCUUUCUUUUUUGAGCGUUUCUUACUAUUUUCUACUUUUGCAAUAACAGGACAGGGGUCCCUAACUUUAACAAUAGGAUUAUCGUCAAAAUCAGAAUCACUCAUGUCAUCAAGCUUAACAUCAAGAGGAGGAACUGAAGACCGU